UACGUAGGGUGCAAGCGUUAGUCGGAAUUACUGGGCGUAAAGCGUGCGCAGGCGGUUAUCCAAGUCAGAUGUGAAAGCCCCGGGCUUAACCUGGGAACUGCGUUUGAAACUGGAUAGCUAGAGUUUAGCAGAGGGGGGUGGAAUUCCACGUGUAGCAGUGAAAUGCGUAGAGAUGUGGAGGAACACCGAUGGCGAAGGCAGCCCCCUGGGCUAAAACUGACGCUCAGGCACGAAAGCGUGGGGAGCAAACAGG
rnacentral:rRNA from 1 species